rnacentral:rRNA from 1 species
UACGUAGGGGGGCUAGCGUUGUCCGGAUUUAUUGGGCGUAAAGAGCGUGUAGGCGGCCAGGUAGGUCUGCUGUGAAAACUCGAGGCUCAACCUCGAGACGUCGGCGGAAACCAUCUGGCUAGAGUCCGGAAGAGGAGAGUGGAAUUCCUGGUGUAGCGGUGAAAUGCGCAGAUAUCAGGAGGAACACCGGUGGCGAAGGCGGGUCUCUGGGCCGGUACUGACGCUAAGGAGCGAAAGCGUGGGGAGCGAACAGG